rnacentral:rRNA from 1 species
GAUGAACGCUGGCGGCGUGCCUAAUACAUGCAAGUCGAGCGAACAGACGAGGAGCUUGCUCCUCUGACGUUAGCGGCGGACGGGUGAGUAACACGUGGAUAACCUACCUAUAAGACUGGGAUAACUUCGGGAAACCGGAGCUAAUACCGGAUAAUAUAUUGAACCGCAUGGUUCAAUAGUGAAAGACGGUUUUGCUGUCACUUAUAGAUGGAUCCGCGCCGCAUUAGCUAGUUGGUAAGGUAACGGCUUACCAAGGCAACGAUGCGUAGCCGACCUGAGAGGGUGAGCGGCCACACUGGAACUGAGACACGGUCCAGACUCCUACGGGAGGCAGCAGUAGGGAAUCUUCCGCAAUGGGCGAAAGCCUGACGGAGCAACGCCGCGUGAGUGAUGAAGGUCUUCGGAUCGUAAAACUCUGUUAUUAGGGAAGAACAAAUGUGUAAGUAACUAUGCACGUCUUGACGGUACCUAAUCAGAAAGCCACGGCUAACUACGUG